rnacentral:rRNA from 1 species
UUAGAAGCAGCCAUCAUUUAAAGAAAGCGUAAUAGCUCACUGGUCGAGUCGGCCUGCGCGGAAGAUGUAACGGGGCUAAACCAUGCACCGAAGCUGCGGCAGCGACGCUUAUGCGUUGUUGGGUAGGGGAGCGUUCUGUAAGCCUGCGAAGGUGUGCUGUGAGGCAUGCUGGAGGUAUCAGAAGUGCGAAUGCUGACAUAAGUAACGAUAAAGCGGGUGAAAAGCCCGCUCGCCGGAAGACCAAGGGUUCCUGUCCAACGUUAAUCGGGGCAGGGUGAGUCGACCCCUAAGGCGAGGCCGAAAGGCGUAGUCGAUGGGAAACAGGUUAAUAUUCCUGUACUUGGUGUUACUGCGAAGGGGGGACGGAGAAGGCUAUGUUGGCCGGGCGACGGUUGUCCCGGUUUAAGCGUGUAGGCUGGUUUUCCAGGCAAAUCCGGAAAAUCAAGGCUGAGGCGUGAUGACGAGGCACUACGGUGCUGAAGCAACAAAUGCCCUGCUUCCAGGAAAAGCCUCUAAGCAUCAGGUAAUAUCAAAUCGUACCCCAAACCGACACAGGUGGUCAGGUAGAGAAUACCAAGGCGCUUGAGAGAACUCGGGUGAAGGAACUAGGCAAAAUGGUGCCGUAACUUCGGGAGAAGGCACGCUGAUAUGUAGGUGAAGUCCCUCGCGGAUGGAGCUGAAAUCAGUCGAAGAUACCAGCUGGCUGCAACUGUUUAUUAAAAACACAGCACUGUGCAAACACGAAAGUGGACGUAUACGGUGUGACGCCUGCCCGGUGCCGGAAGGUUAAUUGAUGGGGUCAGCGCAAGCGAAGCUCUUGAUCGAAGCCCCGGUAAACGGCGGCCGUAACUAUAACGGUCCUAAGGUAGCGAAAUUCCUUGUCGGGUAAGUUCCGACCUGCACGAAUGGCGUAAUGAUGGCCAGGCUGUCUCCACCCGAGACUCAGUGAAAUUGAACUCGCUGUGAAGAUGCAGUGUACCCGCGGCAAGACGGAAAGACCCCGUGAACCUUUACUAUAGCUUGACACUGAACAUUGAGCCUUGAUGUGUAGGAUAGGUGGGAGGCUUUGAAGUGUGGACGCCAGUCUGCAUGGAGCCGACCUUGAAAUACCACCCUUUAAUGUUUGAUGUUCUAACGUUGACCCGUGAUCCGGGUUGCGGACAGUGUCUGGUGGGUAGUUUGACUGGGGCGGUCUCCUCCUAAAGAGUAACGGAGGAGCACGAAGGUUGGCUAAUCCUGGUCGGACAUCAGGAGG